CUAUGGAUGAAAGCGGGGGAUCGCAAGACCUCGCGCGAUUGGAGCGGCCGAUAUCAUAGGUAGUUGGUGGGGUAAAGGCCUACCAAGCCGACGAUCUGUAGCUCUGAGAGGACGACCAGCCACACUGGGACUGAGACACGGCCCAACUACGGGAGGCAGYAGUGGGGAAUUUUGGACAAUGGGCGCAAGCCUGAUGCAAUGCCGCGUGCAGGAUGAAGGCCUUCGGGUUGUAAACUGCUUUUGUACGGAGCGAAAAGGCUUYCACUAAUACUGGGGGCUCAUGACGGUACCGUAAGAAUAAGYACCGGUUAACUACGUGCCAGYAGCCGCGGUAAUACGUAGGGUGCAAGCGUUAAUUCGGAAUUACUGGGCGUAAAGCGUGCGCAUUUGUAAGACAAGGUGUGAAAU
rnacentral:rRNA from 1 species